UAUUGUUAUGUCCCAAAAUAGGACUACGUGUGUCCGCGAGUGGGCAGCGCCGGCUAGCUCUAGAGCACUUGGGGUGUGGGUACUCCAACCCUGCCCACACACACGCAACAAUAAACAAACAGAUGUUUGUACUUCCCAACACUUCACGCUGCAACAGCUGUCUUAUGACUGGACCGAAAACAUUGACGAAAUAUACGAAACUAUAAAACUAACACAACACGUGAUUAUCACAAAACUAAUUCCCCGACUUGUCCCUUUUCAGGUCACAGGACGCCAUCAGAUAUAUUGUGGGCUUUUGGGGGCAAACCCAAAGCCUCCGCGCUCCCACCCAACCGUAGCAGCCGUAGGUGACUCCGACUGCCCAUUGGACCGGUCACCGUGAGAUAUCUUGGAACCGUUUACAUGUUCCCUCCCCUCUGAAAGAUAUUCUACUCCAUAUUCAUUAUAGUAUCAUUUAUUUACUUAAAUUAUUUACAGGGCUUCAGCUUCCCGUAAGGAAACCCAUCAACCACCGCCCGCCGGGUGCGACAGUCACCAAAGGGAUUUACGUAGACUGGUCUGUUCUCUUUAUUUCGGUCCCUACCUAAAAGAGCUCUCUUAAGGGGAUCCCAGACCCGAUUAUAACCUAUUCGACGCGGUCGCUGGAGAGGAUUCCCCGUGGGAUUAACAAGUACUUGGCUUUGACGGUUUAAAUGUCAAGCCUCGCCCAGAAGGAGCGAUAAGUGGCAAAUAACUAAAUAAACAAAUGUGAAAAAAAAACACUCGCCUUGAAUUGUUCACAUCCGGCAAUAAACAUUUUAAAAUUGGUGAUUUAAUAAAUAAAUAAUAGUGCAAUAUGGGUGAAUCUAUGUGCAAUAUAUAUAGGUUAAUUUUUAAGUGUUAUAUAAGAUCCCCUCCCCCAACAAAUUUAAUGCGAAAUGAAUAUAAAUAAUUAAAUAAAAAAAAUAACUAAAUAAACUAAGGGACAACACAAUAUAAAGCUAAAAAGACUAUUUCGCAGUAAGCCGCCGAUCUUUUCCAGGUCCGGUUGGUGAUGUAAUUCCACGUGCCGUGACGCGCAAUCGAAUCCUCCACCGAAUUCUGGGGAGGAUUAUGCCCCCUCCUGGAGUAAAUUCUCCACGCGCGCGGAGGAUUUCUCGCAGGCACGACAGGUUCCUCCAGGUAGCUAGCGCUGGAGGCAGCGGGCUCGCCGAUGACGUAAUCUCCGGCCGAGAACCGGGGUUACUCCAAGAAAAACUUGGCCAGGCCCUAAUUAAUGGAACCUGGCCACUACCUUCCACGUCUCUUCUCGCUGGCCUGAAAUGGGAUUCCUAUUGGAAUUUUCUUUUUCCCCCCACUAACUGGAACGCACUCACCGUAGGGUCUUGACCAGUCCGGCUUCAGAGACCGUUCUCCAGCGUCGGCGACCGGCGAAAACUUUGCACGAGCGGGCUCACUCCUUUUUAUUUAUCGGUACUGACUGCGUUCGAAAUUUUGGCUGCACUUAUCUAGGCGCUGAUGGCCACUUGAACACCACGACCGCCUGAGGAGAUAGUUAAUUCACCGAACCCGCUGCGACUGCGCGCCGCCGACACCAAAUCUGAACUGAUCUAGUGUCGGCCAUUUUCCUUCCGCCAACCUAUGCAGAUUACGGGCCUCGGUUCCCUGCACUCUGGGUCAAUGUUCCUAUAACCUCCAUUUGUCCGGUUUGAAUUUGAAUUCGCCCCCGAACUGACUCCAAUUUUCACGUUGCCCAUCACUGGAAACCCCAAAACCUCUUUGCAUCUUUGCAUGGUUUUCUCGAUUACUCGAUUAGUGAGGGAUGGCGAUGCUUGUUUCUCCGAAACGCUAGUAAAAUAUAGAAGACAUCCCUCCUAUGGACAUCUUCCAGACAUCUGUAAAUCCGGAACUACCCUGAAAACACGGAGGAUCAUUUUGGGACAUCAGGACAAGGCCCAACGAGGGAUCACACCCACACAUACUACCGAACAGAUUGUUGCGAUGUCUUCUUCUUCCCCAGCUGGACAUCGGAUUGUAUUUGUUUUGGUUUUUUUGGGUGGUAAUGGACUUGGAAUCUCGUCGCGGGAGCCAGGUGAGUACAUAAUCGCAGCAAACUCUUCACACCAACACCUUUUCUUCCAGUGCUCGUCGUGGGUCGCUUGUAGGUCCGUUCUUACUGCUUCAAAUCCUUCGCGUGAUAUAUUCCACUAGGUUUCCCUUGCAAUGUCUCGGUCUCAUACAUGUUGUUCCCUAUCCUUGACUUGAUUCGACACUUAACAAAUUUCUUCGCGAAUUUGGCAUUAUAGUUCUGGCCGAAAUUACUCAAAGUAAAAUUCUUCCGGUAUACUUCCUGUCCGACUGCGAGUCGUACAUUUCGUGACCUCCGGUUGUACACAGCUGCGCUUCUUUCGUAUGCCUUGUUUGAAUUCUUCCGGAUUUCUUCGCGCAUCAGGACGAUCUUAGAUUCUCUUGGCAGGACAUACAGUUCGUUGUCUUCUAAUGCCUUCAAACGUCUCGCUAGUUGGUAAUCUGCCCCGUUGGUGAACAUAUUUUGCCCAAACAGAGCGAAAUAUGGAGAUACUCCAGUAGCCUGAUGAACCGCUCCUCUGAGCGCACACUCAAUCUCCGACAGAAUCGCAUUUAGAACAGACUGGUUGACUCUUUCCGCCGCAUUUGACUGGGGUGAGUAAACAGCGGUCCGAAUGUGCUUAACUCCAUAUUCCUUCAGAAAUUCCGUGAACUGCUUGGAAACAAAUUGUUUCCCGUUAUCGGAAUGUAACAAUUCCGGAACCCCAAACUUGUUAAACACCUCCUGCCUUAAAAAUCGAAUUACUCCCGCAGAGGUUGCUUCCCGCAUGCCUUUAAGGAGUGUGAACUUCGAGAAAUGAUCAACUACUAUGAACACAUAUGAAUUCCCUCCUCGAGACCUCGGAUACUUUCCCAGAAAAUCGAUGUAUAUUUUCUGGAAUGGCCUAAGUGUAACCACUUCCGCACCAAUAUCGGGUUUAGGGCCGCAAUUCGUUGGCUUGGUUUCUUUGCAUACUGUACAAUCCCUAACAUAAGCUCGGACCUGGCUCACCAUCCCCGGCCAGUGAAAUCUCUGACGCAGCCAACUCAAUGUUUUCGCCAUUCCACCAUGAGCUCUAUUUUUCGGGCUAUGCGCUUGCUCUAUCAGAGUGCGUGUGAGGCUAGCAGGUAUCCACAGUUUCCAGGAGUAUUCCCCUAAUUCGGGUUUAUUAUCAUCUCGUUUAGACCGCAGAAACACAUAAUCUCCAUCCACAACGAGAUCUGGGAAACGUUCUUCAUGUGCCAAUACCUCCUUCCUAAACUCAGCGUACUCUGGAGACUCGAAUUCUGUCGUCUCGAACCCCAGCAAGGGUUCUAAGUCAAUUGACUCUAUCAUCCUGGAAAGAGUGUCAGCCACUACAUUUUCUGAGCCCUUCCUAUGUUCUAUAACAAAGUCAUGGAUCUGCAACUUUAACGACCAACGAGCGAGCCGCCCAUCCAGGUCCUUUAAUGACAUCAGCCACUUCAGGCUGGCGUGGUCUGUUAUAAUAGUAAAGGGCAUCAUUUCGACAUACGGUCUGAAUCGUUUCACUCCGAGGACGUCCGCCAGACAUUCCUUUUCUGUGACGCUGUAGUUUUUUUGGCAUUUGUUCAGCUUCUGUGAGAAGUAUUCAUUGGGUCUUUCGUUUCCCUGAUCAUCCAGCUGGAAUAACACUGCCCCAACUCCCGUGUCGGACGCAUCGCACUGUAUGUAAAAACGCCGUGAGAAAUCUGGAUGGUUUAGCACGGGCGCCGUUAGGAGUGCAGUUUUCAGGGUUUCUAUGGCUUGCUGAGCCGCGGGGGUUAGGUGGAAUUUCCCACUCUUCUUCAAGGUAUCUGUAAGAGGGGCGGAAAUUUCUGCGAAAUUAUGGAUGAACCUGCGGUACCAUCCUGCUGUACCCAACAGACUACGAACCUCCCGCGGAUUACGGGGAUUACUUAGCUUUCGAAUAGCUUCUACCUUCUUGGGAUCUGUUCUCAAUUCCCCUCCGCCAAUUACGAAACCCAAAUAGCGCAAUUCUUUGAAGCAGAAUUUUGAUUUUUGUAACCCGAUUGUGAGUCCGGCUGCCUUCAAACAUUCUCCUACUUCUUUCAAAAUGGAUAGAUGUGAUUCAAAGUCUGGGGUUACUAUCAGUAGAUCGUCGAGAUAAACAAAGACUUUCUCCCGUAGUUUGGAUGGGAUGACCUUAUCCAUCAACCGACACAGGCUUUGACCCGCGUUACAGAGCCCAAAGGGCAUUACGACGAAUUGGUACAAGGGCCUCCCAGGGACAGUAAAUGCCGUGAUCGGUCGACUCUCUUCCUCCAGCUCGAUUUGCCAAUAAGCAUGUUUCAGGUCGACACUGCUGAUAAAUAUGGUUGAGGCAAUUCUGCUUAGGAUUCCAUCUAUGUUUUGAAGCGGAUACGCGUCCUUCUUUGUCACCUUGUUCACCCUGCGCGCGUCCAAACAAAGCCAAUUUUUCCCAGGUUUCAUGACCAACGUCACAGGAUUGUUCCAAGCACUUUCACUUUUCUCGAUGACGCCUAGUCGCAACAUCUCAUCCACUUCAGCAUAGACCGCCGCCUGUUUUGCCGGAGACAUCGGAUAGUGCCUUGACUUCACUGGUACUGCUCCUUCUUCCAGUUCUAUCCUGUGCUUUAGAAGCUUAGUUCGUCCCAAUCCAACCUUUUCGUAAGAAAGAAACACUCCUCGGACUUCAGCGAGUCGGGAUUCCUGGGACGCCGAUAGUUGAUGACGCUCGGGCUCGACAGUUGUAACUUCCUGCGACUCUACCAAUUCCUCGACGCCACCUCCAAAUAGUUCCGGAGCAAUAUUGAACUCCUUCCAAAAGUCUACCCCCAAAUACAACUGUUGCUUUACAUAGAUACAGGACAUAGAUACAAACACUUGCUGGCCUCUCGUCCCCAGAAAACCACUCUCACAAUGACCUUGCCUAAUAUCCGAUCUUCGCCGUUCGCUGUCUUCACGUUUCCCCUGUAUGGCAACCAAUCCAAUCCAAGUCGAUCCACCAACUCCUGGCAGCCGGUACCUAGGACGCUAAUAGUAGCUCCGGAAUCCAGCAGUCCUUGGAUCUCCUGAUCUGCUAUAGUCACUGUCGCGUAGGGCCUUGGAUCGUCGUUAGUAUACUUAAGGGAUUCUAUUUGUGAUAUCGUGCGCUGGACCUCCUGCCUUUCCAUUUUCCUCUUUUUGUCAUUCCCUCCAGUUGGUGGUCCUUAAAAAUGCGUUCCCGAGCCUCCUUGUAUCGACGCCAUCUCUCCUCCAGUGGUUUAGCCAGUCUUCCUUGCCAUUCCACCCUUGGUCCUGCGUUUACUUCGCACGACUCUGGGUCAUUGGGGUUACACCGACCGGCUCCCGUCCGGAACGCAACUCCACUGGGUUUAUUACGUUCCCCUUCGAGUUUCCCGGAUUGCAGUUUGGGCAUUUAGGCGUAAACGUGUCGGCUCGCCCGCAUUUGAAACAGAAGUAGGACUUUUGCGGCGUUUCACAUUGCUUGUAGACGUGCCCGGCUUGUUUGCAGUUCCAACAUACCACGGCUUUCCGCUGGCUGGCAGAUUGGAUGGCCUCUACUAGUCCUCCCUCGUUUUCAUGUUCGACUACUGUCCGGAAAUUCUGGUCUGGAAUGCUACUGUACUGGACUUCGUCUACCCUCUGCCCUCGAAAUUCUAGUCGUCUGGGGGGUACCGCUCGUGGUGUCUGUCUGGCUCGUCCCACUUCCUCCGCGAAAGCUCUUUCGGCUUCUCGACAUUCGUCUCUGAGAUGCUCCAAGGUGUAUGCCCGAAUCGGAAACACGUACUGCUUCAAGGGCUCGCACAGAUUACGCUUGACGGUCUUGAUCAUCCAUUUUUCAGUAAUUGGUAACCGCACCGCAGCCCUCAGUCUUCGCAUUGCGUGGAAGAAAGAAUCCAGGGACUCUCCUGGCAUUUGCCUCCGCUCACUCAGGUCCUGGAUCCUCUCAUAGUCGCAUCUAGUGUCGCUAUACCGACGCUCAAUAGCCGUCCGCAAUUCCAUCCAGGUUGCUAUGUUGUUAGUACGGACUAGCAGCCAAUACCAUUCCGCCGCACCAUCGACCACCAAGCGGUGAAAGUUCCGGAUAAAAUCCGCCCAAGGCGUGCCAUAAUGCUGCCUUAAGUGCUCGACUCGGAAUAUAAAUUCUUCCGCACUCAUCCCAUCGGAGUUGCCAGAGAACUGUAUCCCCCAUUUGUGCACUGGGACACAGUGUCCUCGUUGAGAAUACCCGUAGACUUCCUGAUUCCGCCGAAGAGCCCCUUGACGCCCUUCCGUGUCUCUUGGUUGAUGGCUUCCACUGGAAGAGGAACCUGGUCGGAAGUGCAUACCUUCCUGUUGAAGAUUCUGCUGAUAACUCGACAGACCGAUUUUCUGACGUUGUCCAGUAGGGCCAGGAUUUACUUCCGGGUCAUUCCUGAAUCGGUUUUAUAUUGUCGGCUGAUUCCCAGGUUGACGACUUCCAAAAUGACCGCCCGCAGGGAGUCCCUGAGACCUAGUUGAUGGUUCUGACCCCCCCGAUAGAGAUGUCCUCCUUUCGACCUGCCUCAUCAACUCAGCAAAGCCUUCUUUGAUAUUUUUGUCAAUCUUGUCGCCGAUAAACCGUUCCAUUUCAGCUCGAAACUGGUUCUGGGAUUCUACCACAAAGUUCCUCAAAUCGCUACCAUGGCCCUGGUUGUCGACUCCUUCGAGGCUAUACUGUUCUUGGAUCGGAUCUAGCUGGAUGUGUGAAAAAGUCGGUAUUGGUGUGGAGUUGUCGCCAUGCUCUAAUCUUUUUGGGUUUCCCACCCGGUUUAGAGUGUGAAACGGCAUUGGUUGCAGUGGGGGACAAGUGAAUGAUCCUGCCUUCCCUAAAGGGGUCGUAAGGUUCCCGCAAUCUUCCAUAUUAUUUCCAUUCUUACCCAUUUUAAUUUGAUUAUUUAUUUCUUCAAAAAUUAUUAGUUCGUAAUUUUUCUUUCAGGAAACAGAAGGGGAAAGAACUACUAUAAACUUUCCCAUCCUACACUGUGAACUGAUCUGCGGCGCUAUUUUUCUAAUGGACUGUCCUCGACCUUGGAACAUUUAACGUUUAACACAAAACAAUGACAGAAUCGACUCUUUCCAACUUCGACUCAGUCGAAGUUUGGGAGUCAAGGGUGUCAUUUUAUUUAGUAAUCAAAAAUCCACGUUUCUUCCCUCGCCAUCAUCCCAUCGACCUCUCGAUACAUCUCAACCGCCGUUCGUCAGUCAAGGACACCGAGGAAUCAUCCGGAAGCUUCUGAGACUCCUGUUCUUAAGAAACUCAGGACUCCGGAUUUCGGUUGUAUUGGCGACUGCCUAAAGAAAAAGGAUCUUUUUACGUCCCCCCGAUUGUUGCUCCUGUAUCUCGAUCGCAAAUCUUCCAGUUUGCUUGAACCCAGCUGAUGUCGUCGAGAAAGAAACACAGUACAGAACGUUUUCUUGCUUUUCUUACUUUCCUAAUCCAAACUAUUUCUCGUCUUUCCCCCAGAUCUUUCUGCUGUUAGCCUACCGGUCAGACGAGGACUUCGAAAAGAUCUAUGGGAAGAGGAAAAUCCUGUUGAAGCCUGGUCACAGGACGCCAUCAGAUAUAUUGUGGGCUUUUGGGGGCAAACCCAAAGCCUCUGCGCUCCCACCCAACCGUAGCAGCCGUAGGUGACUCCGACUGCCCAUUGGACCGGUCACCGUGAGAUAUCUUGGAACCGUUUACAUGUUCCCUCCCCUCUGAAAGAUAUUCUACUCCAUAUUCAUUAUAGUAUCAUUUAUUUACUUAAAUUAUUUACAGGGCUUCAGCUUCCCGUAAGGAAACCCAUCAACCACCGCCCGCCGGGUGCGACAGUCACCAAAGGGAUUUACGUAGACUGGUCUGUUCUCUUUAUUUCGGUCCCUACCUAAAAGAGCUCUCUUAAGGGGAUCCCAGACCCGAUUAUAACCUAUUCGACGCGGUCGCUGGAGAGGAUUCCCCGUGGGAUUAACAAGUACUUGGCUUUGACGGUUUAAAUGUCAAGCCUCGCCCAGAAGGAGCGAUAAGUGGCAAAUAACUAAAUAAACAAAUGUGAAAAAAAAACACUCGCCUUGAAUUGUUCACAUCCGGCAAUAAACAUUUUAAAAUUGGUGAUUUAAUAAAUAAAUAAUAGUGCAAUAUGGGUGAAUCUAUGUGCAAUAUAUAUAGGUUAAUUUUUAAGUGUUAUAUAAGAUCCCCUCCCCCAACAAAUUUAAUGCGAAAUGAAUAUAAAUAAUUAAAUAAAAAAAAUAACUAAAUAAACUAAGGGACAACACAAUAUAAAGCUAAAAAGACUAUUUCGCAGUAAGCCGCCGAUCUUUUCCAGGUCCGGUUGGUGAUGUAAUUCCACGUGCCGUGACGCGCAAUCGAAUCCUCCACCGAAUUCUGGGGAGGAUUAUGCCCCCUCCUGGAGUAAAUUCUCCACGCGCGCGGAGGAUUUCUCGCAGGCACGACAGGUUCCUCCAGGUAGCUAGCGCUGGAGGCAGCGGGCUCGCCGAUGACGUAAUCUCCGGCCGAGAACCGGGGUUACUCCAAGAAAAACUUGGCCAGGCCCUAAUUAAUGGAACCUGGCCACUACCUUCCACGUCUCUUCUCGCUGGCCUGAAAUGGGAUUCCUAUUGGAAUUUUCUUUUUCCCCCCACUAACUGGAACGCACUCACCGUAGGGUCUUGACCAGUCCGGCUUCAGAGACCGUUCUCCGGCGUCGGCGACCGGCGAAAACUUUGCACGAGCGGGCUCACUCCUUUUUAUUUAUCGGUACUGACUGCGUUCGAAAUUUUGGCUGCACUUAUCUAGGCGCUGAUGGCCACUUGAACACCACGACCGCCUGAGGAGAUAGUUAAUUCACCGAACCCGGUUCGACUGCGCGCCGCCGACACCAAAUCUGAACUGAUCUAGUGUCGGCCAUUUUCCUUCCGCCAACCUAUGCAGAUUACGGGCCUCGGUUCCCUGCACUCUGGGUCAAUGUUCCUAUAACCUCCAUUUGUCCGGUUUGAAUUUGAAUUCGCCCCCGAACUGACUCCAAUUUUCACGUUGCCCAUCACUGGAAACCCCAAAACCUCUUUGCAUCUUUGCAUGGUUUUCUCGAUUACUCGAUUAGUGAGGGAUGGCGAUGCUUGUUUCUCCGAAACGCUAGUAAAAUAUAGAAGACAUCCCUCCUAUGGACAUCUUCCAGACAUCUGUAAAUCCGGAACUACCCUGAAAACACGGAGGAUCAUUUUGGGACAUCAGGACAAGGCCCAACGAGGGAUCACACCCACACAUACUACCGAACAGAUUGUUGCGAUGUCUUCUUCUUCCCCAGCUGGACAUCGGAUUGUAUUUGUUUUGGUUUUUUUGGGUGGUAAUGGACUUGGAAUCUCGUCGCGGGAGCCAGGUGAGUACAUAAUCGCAGCAAACUCUUCUCACCAACACCUUUUCUUCCAGUGCUCGUCGUGGGUCGCUUGUAGGUCCGUUCUUACUGCUUCAAAUCCUUCGCGUGAUAUAUUCCACUAGGUUUCCCUUGCAAUGUCUCGGUCUCAUACAUGUUGUUCCCUAUCCUUGACUUGAUUCGACACUUAACAAAUUUCUUCGCGAAUUUGGCAUUAUAGUUCUGGACGAAAUUACUCAAAGUAAAAUUCUUCCGGUAUACUUCCUGUCCGACUGAGAAUCGUACAUUUCGUGACCUCCGGUUGUACACAGCUGCGCUUCUUUCGUAUGCCUUGUUUGAAUUCUUCCGGAUUUCUUCGCGCAUCAGGACGAUCUUAGAUUCUCUUGGCAGGACAUACAGUUCGUUGUCUUCUAAUGCCUUCAAACGUCUCGCUAGUUGGUAAUCUGCCCCGUUGGUGAACAUAUUUUGCCCAAACAGAGCGAAAUAUGGAGAUACUCCAGUAGCCUGAUGAACCGCUCCUCUGAGCGCACACUCAAUCUCCGACAGAUACAGAUCCCAAUAUUGGUGAUCGUCCUCUAAAUAGGCUCGAAUUGCAUUUAGAACAGACUGGUUGACUCUUUCCGCCGCAUUUGACUGGGGUGAGUAAACAGCGGUCCGAAUGUGCCUAACUCCAUAUUCCUUCAGAAAUUCCGUGAACUGCUUGGAAACAAAUUGUUUCCCGUUAUCGGAAUGUAACAAUUCCGGAACCCCAAACUUGUUAAACACCUCCUGCCUUAAAAAUCGAAUUACUCCCGCAGAGGUUGCUUCCCGCAUGCCUUUAAGGAGUGUGAACUUCGAGAAAUGAUCAACUACUAUGAACACAUAUGAAUUCCCUCCUCGAGACCUCGGAUACUUUCCCAGAAAAUCGAUGUAUAUUUUCUGGAAUGGCCUAAGUGUAACCACUUCCGCACCAAUAUCGGGUUUAGGGCCGCAAUUCGUUGGCUUGGUUUCUUUGCAUACUGUACAAUCCCUAACAUAAGCUCGGACCUGGCUCACCAUCCCCGGCCAGUGAAAUCUCUGACGCAGCCAACUCAAUGUUUUCGCCAUUCCACCAUGAGCUCUAUUUUUCGGGCUAUGCGCUUGCUCUAUCAGAGUGCGUGUGAGGCUAGCAGGUAUCCACAGUUUCCAGGAGUAUUCCCCUAAUUCGGGUUUAUUAUCAUCUCGUUUAGACCGCAGAAACACAUAAUCUCCAUCCACAACGAGAUCUGGGAAACGUUCUUCAUGUGCCAAUACCUCCUUCCUAAACUCAGCGUACUCUGGAGACUCGAAUUCUGUCGUCUCGAACCCCAGCAAGGGUUCUAAGUCAAUUGACUCUAUCAUCCUGGAAAGAGUGUCAGCCACUACAUUUUCUGAGCCCUUCCUAUGUUCUAUAACAAAGUCAUGGAUCUGCAACUUUAACGACCAACGAGCGAGCCGCCCAUCCAGGUCCUUUAAUGACAUCAGCCACUUCAGGCUGGCGUGGUCUGUUAUAAUAGUAAAGGGCAUCAUUUCGACAUACGGUCUGAAUCGUUUCACUCCGAGGACGUCCGCCAGACAUUCCUUUUCUGUGACGCUGUAGUUUUUUUGGCAUUUGUUCAGCUUCUGUGAGAAGUAUUCAUUGGGUCUUUCGUUUCCCUGAUCAUCCAGCUGGAAUAACACUGCCCCAACUCCCGUGUCGGACGCAUCGCACUGUAUGUAAAAACGCCGUGAGAAAUCUGGAUGGUUUAGCACGGGCGCCGUUAGGAGUGCAGUUUUCAGGGUUUCUAUGGCUUGCUGAGCCGCGGGGGUUAGGUGGAAUUUCCCACUCUUCUUCAAGGUAUCUGUAAGAGGGGCGGAAAUUUCUGCGAAAUUAUGGAUGAACCUGCGGUACCAUCCUGCUGUACCCAACAGACUACGAACCUCCCGCGGAUUACGGGGAUUACUUAGCUUUCGAAUAGCUUCUACCUUCUUGGGAUCUGUUCUCAAUUCCCCUCCGCCAAUUACGAAACCCAAAUAGCGCAAUUCUUUGAAGCAGAAUUUUGAUUUUUGUAACCCGAUUGUGAGUCCGGCUGCCUUCAAACAUUCUCCUACUUCUUUCAAAAUGGAUAGAUGUGAUUCAAAGUCUGGGGUUACUAUCAGUAGAUCGUCGAGAUAAACAAAGACUUUCUCCCGUAGUUUGGAUGGGAUGACCUUAUCCAUCAACCGACACAGGCUUUGACCCGCGUUACAGAGCCCAAAGGGCAUUACGACGAAUUGGUACAAGGGCCUCCCAGGGACAGUAAAUGCCGUGAUCGGUCGACUCUCUUCCUCCAGCUCGAUUUGCCAAUAAGCAUGUUUCAGGUCGACACUGCUGAUAAAUAUGGUUGAGGCAAUUCUGCUUAGGAUUCCAUCUAUGUUUUGAAGCGGAUACGCGUCCUUCUUUGUCACCUUGUUCACCCUGCGCGCGUCCAAACAAAGCCAAUUUUUCCCAGGUUUCAUGACCAACGUCACAGGAUUGUUCCAAGCACUUUCACUUUUCUCGAUGACGCCUAGUCGCAACAUCUCAUCCACUUCAGCAUAGACCGCCGCCUGUUUUGCCGGAGACAUCGGAUAGUGCCUUGACUUCACUGGUACUGCUCCUUCUUCCAGUUCUAUCCUGUGCUUUAGAAGCUUAGUUCGUCCCAAUCCAACCUUUUCGUAAGAAAGAAACACUCCUCGGACUUCAGCGAGUCGGGAUUCCUGGGACGCCGAUAGUUGAUGACGCUCGGGCUCGACAGUUGUAACUUCCUGCGACUCUACCAAUUCCUCGACGCCACCUCCAAAUAGUUCCGGAGCAAUAUUGAACUCCUUCCAAAAGUCUACCCCCAAAUACAACUGUUGCUUUACAUAGAUACAGGACAUAGAUACAAACACUUGCUGGCCUCUCGUCCCCAGAAAACCACUCUCACAAUGACCUUGCCUAAUAUCCGAUCUUCGCCGUUCGCUGUCUUCACGUUUCCCCUGUAUGGCAACCAAUCCAAUCCAAGUCGAUCCACCAACUCCUGGCAGCCGGUACCUAGGACGCUAAUAGUAGCUCCGGAAUCCAGCAGUCCUUGGAUCUCCUGAUCUGCUAUAGUCACUGUCGCGUAGGGCCUUGGAUCGUCGUUAGUAUACUUAAGGGAUUCUAUUUGUGAUAUCGUGCGCUGGACCUCCUGCCUUUCCAUUUUCCUCUUUUUGUCAUUCCCUCCAGUUGGUGGUCCUUAAAAAUGCGUUCCCGAGCCUCCUUGUAUCGACGCCAUCUCUCCUCCAGUGGUUUAGCCAGUCUUCCUUGCCAUUCCACCCUUGGUCCUGCGUUUACUUCGCACGACUCUGGGUCAUUGGGGUUACACCGACCGGCUCCCGUCCGGAACGCAACUCCACUGGGUUUAUUACGUUCCCCUUCGAGUUUCCCGGAUUGCAGUUUGGGCAUUUAGGCGUAAACGUGUCGGCUCGCCCGCAUUUGAAACAGAAGUAGGACUUUUGCGGCGUUUCACAUUGCUUGUAGACGUGCCCGGCUUGUUUGCAGUUCCAACAUACCACGGCUUUCCGCUGGCUGGCAGAUUGGAUGGCCUCUACUAGUCCUCCCUCGUUUUCAUGUUCGACUACUGUCCGGAAAUUCUGGUCUGGAAUGCUACUGUACUGGACUUCGUCUACCCUCUGCCCUCGAAAUUCUAGUCGUCUGGGGGGUACCGCUCGUGGUGUCUGUCUGGCUCGUCCCACUUCCUCCGCGAAAGCUCUUUCGGCUUCUCGACAUUCGUCUCUGAGAUGCUCCAAGGUGUAUGCCCGAAUCGGAAACACGUACUGCUUCAAGGGCUCGCACAGAUUACGCUUGACGGUCUUGAUCAUCCAUUUUUCAGUAAUUGGUAACCGCACCGCAGCCCUCAGUCUUCGCAUUGCGUGGAAGAAAGAAUCCAGGGACUCUCCUGGCAUUUGCCUCCGCUCACUCAGGUCCUGGAUCCUCUCAUAGUCGCAUCUAGUGUCGCUAUACCGACGCUCAAUAGCCGUCCGCAAUUCCAUCCAGGUUGCUAUGUUGUUAGUACGGACUAGCAGCCAAUACCAUUCCGCCGCACCAUCGACCACCAAGCGGUGAAAGUUCCGGAUAAAAUCCGCCCAAGGCGUGCCAUAAUGCUGCCUUAAGUGCUCGACUCGGAAUAUAAAUUCUUCCGCACUCAUCCCAUCGGAGUUGCCAGAGAACUGUAUCCCCCAUUUGUGCACUGGGACACAGUGUCCUCGUUGAGAAUACCCGUAGACUUCCUGAUUCCGCCGAAGAGCCCCUUGACGCCCUUCCGUGUCUCUUGGUUGAUGGCUUCCACUGGAAGAGGAACCUGGUCGGAAGUGCAUACCUUCCUGUUGAAGAUUCUGCUGAUAACUCGACAGACCGAUUUUCUGACGUUGUCCAGUAGGGCCAGGAUUUACUUCCGGGUCAUUCCUGAAUCGGUUUUAUAUUGUCGGCUGAUUCCCAGGUUGACGACUUCCAAAAUGACCGCCCGCAGGGAGUCCCUGAGACCUAGUUGAUGGUUCUGACCCCCCCGAUAGAGAUGUCCUCCUUUCGACCUGCCUCAUCAACUCAGCAAAGCCUUCUUUGAUAUUUUUGUCAAUCUUGUCGCCGAUAAACCGUUCCAUUUCAGCUCGAAACUGGUUCUGGGAUUCUACCACAAAGUUCCUCAAAUCGCUACCAUGGCCCUGGUUGUCGACUCCUUCGAGGCUAUACUGUUCUUGGAUCGGAUCUAGCUGGAUGUGUGAAAAAGUCGGUAUUGGUGUGGAGUUGUCGCCAUGCUCUAAUCUUUUUGGGUUUCCCACCCGGUUUAGAGUGUGAAACGGCAUUGGUUGCAGUGGGGGACAAGUGAAUGAUCCUGCCUUCCCUAAAGGGGUCGUAAGGUUCCCGCAAUCUUCCAUAUUAUUUCCAUUCUUACCCAUUUUAAUUUGAUUAUUUAUUUCUUCAAAAAUUAUUAGUUCGUAAUUUUUCUUUCAGGAAACAGAAGGGGAAAGAACUACUAUAAACUUUCCCAUCCUACACUGUGAACUGAUCUGCGGCGCUAUUUUUCUAAUGGACUGUCCUCGACCUUGGAACAUUUAACGUUUAACACAAAACAAUGACAGAAUCGACUCUUUCCAACUUCGACUCAGUCGAAGUUUGGGAGUCAAGGGUGUCAUUUUAUUUAGUAAUCAAAAAUCCACGUUUCUUCCCUCGCCAUCAUCCCAUCGACCUCUCGAUACAUCUCAACCGCCGUUCGUCAGUCAAGGACACCGAGGAAUCAUCCGGAAGCUUCUGAGACUCCUGUUCUUAAGAAACUCAGGACUCCGGAUUUCGGUUGUAUUGGCGACUGCCUGAAGAAAAAGGAUCUUUUUACGUCCCCCCGAUUGUUGCUCCUGUAUCUCGAUCGCAAAUCUUCCAGUUUGCUUGAACCCAGCUGAUGUCGUCGAGAAAGAAACACAGUACAGAACGUUUUCUUGCUUUUCUUACUUUCCUAAUCCAAACUAUUUCUCGUCUUUCCCCCAGAUCUUUCUGCUGUUAGCCUACCGGUCAGACGAGGACUUCGAAAAGAUCUAUGGGAAGAGGAAAAUCCUGUUGAAGCCUGGUCACAGGACGCCAUCAAAUAUAUUGUGGGCUUUUGGGGGCAAACCCAAAGCCUCCGCGCUCCCACCCAACCGUAGCAGCCGUAGGUGACUCCGACUGCCCCUUGGACCGGUCACCGUGAGAUAUCUUGGAACCGUUUACAUGUUCCCUCCCCUCUGAAAGAUAUUCUACUCCAUAUUCAUUAUAGUAUCAUUUAUUUACUUAAAUUAUUUACAGGGCUUCAGCUUCCCGUAAGGAAACCCAUCAACCACCGCCCGCCGGGUGCGACAGUCACCAAAGGGAUUUACGUAGACUGGUCUGUUCUCUUUAUUUCGGUCCCUACCUAAAAGAGCUCUCUUAAGGGGAUCCCAGACCCGAUUAUAACCUAUUCGACGCGGUCGCUGGAGAGGAUUCCCCGUGGGAUUAACAAGUACUUGGCUUUGACGGUUUAAAUGUCAAGCCUCGCCCAGAAGGAGCGAUAAGUGGCAAAUAACUAAAUAAACAAAUGUGAAAAAAAACACUCGCCUUGAAUUGUUCACAUCCGGCAAUAAACAUUUUAAAAUUGGUGAUAUAAUAAAUAAAUAAUAGUGCAAUAUGGGUGAAUCUAUGUGCAAUAUAUAUAGGUUAAUUUUUAAGUGUUAUAUAAGAUCCCCUCCCCCAACAAAUUUUAUGCGAAAAGAAUAUAAAUAAUUAAAUAAAAAAAAUAACUAAAUAAACUAAGGGACAACACAAUAUAAAGCUAAAAAGACUAUUUCGCAGUAAGCCGCCGAUCUUUUCCAGGUCCGGUUGGUGAUGUAAUUCCACGUGCCGUGACGCGCAAUCGAAUCCUCCACCGAAUUCUGGGGAGGAUUAUGCCCCCUCCUGGAGUAAAUUCUCCACGCGCGCGGAGGAUUUCUCGCAGGCACGACAGGUUCCUCCAGGUAGCUAGCGCUGGAGGCAGCGGGCUCGCCGAUGACGUAAUCUCCGGCCGAGAACCGGGGUUACUCCAAGAAAAACUUGGCCAGGCCCUAAUUAAUGGAACCUGGCCACUACCUUCCACGUCUCUUCUCGCUGGCCUGAAAUGGGAUUCCUAUUGGAAUUUUCUUUUUCCCCCCACUAACUGGAACGCACUCACCGUAGGGUCUUGACCAGUCCGGCUUCAGAGACCGUUCUCCGGCGUCGGCGACCGGCGAAAACUUUGCACGAGCGGGCUCACUCCUUUUUAUUUAUCGGUACUGACUGCGUUCGAAAUUUUGGCUGCACUUAUCUAGGCGCUGAUGGCCACUUGAACACCACGACCGCGUGAGGAGAUAGUUAAUUCACCGAACCCGCUGCGACUGCGCGCCGCCGACACCAAAUCUGAACUGAUCUAGUGUCGGCCAUUUUCCUUCCGCCAACCUAUGCAGA